UCCUGGCUCAGAACGAACGCUGGCGGCGUGGAUUAGGCAUGCAAGUCGAGCGACGGGCCCUCCUUCGGGAGGGAGACCGAGCGGCGAAAGGGUGAGUAAUAUAUAGGCAACUUACCCCUGGGACGGGGAUAGCGUCCGGAAACGGACGGUAAUACCCGAUGGUACAUCUUUUUUGCAUGGCAUAGAUGUUAAUGGGGGGGGAUCCUUCGGGACCUUCCGCCCGGGGAGAGGCCUAUGUCCUAUUAGCUUGUUGGUGGGGUAACGGCCCACCAAGGCGAUGAUGGGUAGCCGGACUGAGAGGUUGACCGGUCACACUGGGACUGAGACACAGCCCAGACUUCUACGGAAGGCUGCAGUCGAGAAUCAUUCGCAAUGGGCGAAAGCCUGACGAUGCAACGCCGCGUGGAUGACGAAAGCCCUCGGGUUGUAAAGUCCUGUCAGGUGUUAUGAAAUGCGGUAGGAUUAAUACUUCUACCGUUUGACAAAGGCACCAGAGGAAGCCACGGCUAACUUCGUGCCAGCAGCCGCGGUAAUACGAAGGUGGCAAGCGUUGUUCGGAAUUAUUGGGCAUAAAGGGCAUGUAGGCGGAGAAGCAAGUCGGUGGUGAAAGCCCUCGGCUCAACCGAGGAAUUGCCUCCGAAACUGCUUUUCUGGAGUGCAGGAGGGGAGAGUGGAACUCUUGGUGGAGCGGUGAAAUGCGUUGAUAUCAAGGGGAACGCCGGCGGCGAAAGCGACUCUCUGGCCUGUUACUGACGCUGAGGUGCGAAAGCUAGGGGAGCGAACGGGAUUAGAUACCCCGGUAGUCCUAGCCGUAAACGAUGGGCACUAAGUAGAGGGGGUUCCGAUGCCUUCUCUGCCGGAGCAAAUGUAUUAAGUGCCCCGCCUGGGGAGUAUGGUCGCAAGGCUGAAACUCAAAGGAAUUGACGGGGGCUCACACAAGCGGUGGAGCAUGUGGUUUAAUUCGAAGCAACGCGAAGAACCUUACCGGGGCUUGAAAUGCUGGGAUUAACCCUCCGAAAGGGGGGGGAUUACCUUGUGUGUAACCAGCACCGGUGUUGCAUGGCUGUCGUCAGCUCGUGUCGUGAGAUGUAGGGUUAAGUCCCGUAACGAGCGAAACCCUUGCCCCUAGUUGCCAGCGGGUUAUGCCGGGGACUCUAGGGGGACUGCCGCGUAAAAGUAGGAGGAAGGUGGGGACGACGUCAAGUCAUCAUGGCCCUUAUGUCCCGGGCUACACACGUGCUACAAUGGUCGGUACAAAGGGACGCAAAUCUGUGAGGUGGAGCAAAUCCCAAAAAGCCGGUCUCAGUCCGGAUUGAAGGCUGCAAUUCGCCUUCAUGAAGUUGGAAUCGCUAGUAAUCGCGGGUCAGCAAUACCGCGGUGAAUAUGUUCCUGAGCCUUGUACACACCGCCCGUCAAGCCACGAAAGCUGGUAGGACCCGAAGUCGUUAACCCAACCCUUUAUUGGGAGGGAGACGCCGAAGGUAAAACCGGUGAUUGGGACUAAGUCGUAACAAGGUA
rnacentral:rRNA from 1 species